UGGGAUAGCUCAUUUGGUAGAGCACGAGACUCUUAAUCUCAAGGUGGUGGGUUCAAGCUCCACGUGGGCAA